rnacentral:misc_RNA from 1 species
AACGCACCUUGCGCCCUUUGGUAUUCCGAAGGGCAUGCCUGUUUGAGUGUCAUUAAAUUAUCAACCUUGCUCGCUUUUACCGGCUUGAGUUAGGCUUGGAUGUGAGGGCUUGCUGGCUUCCUUCAGUGGAUGGUCUGCUCCCUUUAAAUGCAUUAGUGGGAUCUCUUGUGGACCGUCACUUGGUGUGAUAAUUAUCUAUGCCACUUGACCUUGAAGCAAACCUUAUGGGAACCCGCUCAUAACCGUCUUCGGACAACUUUUGACAUUUUGACCUCAAAUCAGGUAGGACUACCCGCUGAACUUAA